AGAUCUCGGCCUCUCUCUCUCUAUCCUCUUCCUUAUUCACUCCAUCGAUGACGACGCCCUCUCUCUCAUCUUCCCUCUUCUCUCCAUCGACGACGAUGACACCCGCUCUCUCUCCUCUUCCUUAUUUGCUCCAUCCACAAUGACACCCUCUCUCUCAUCUUCCUUCUUUCUCAUGCGAAGCUCUGUUUUUCAUUUGGUGAGGGAAAUGUGGUAAUCUCAUCGCUUCCAGUAAAGCAAGGUGUAACUUCUAUGAGGAAUUCCAAAAGGCGCAAGUAUCCCAUCCUGUGGUUUGGAAGCAUUAGGGAACAAAUCAGUUAGGUAAUGGUGCUUUGGAGCGGAUUCGCAUGGAUGUACAGACAGGGCAGGGACUAAUUGAUACGAACUUUGUAUUAGCAGGUGGCGUUGAUGGCUCUUUAAGGUAGAGAAAAAGAUAGAGAAAAAAAAAAAAGAGAAAGAGGGUAUUUUGGCAUUUUAAAAAAUUAAA